UACGGAGGGGGCAAGCGUUGUUCGGAUUUACUGGGCGUAAAGGGUCCGUAGGUGGUUGUGUAAGUCUGGUGUGAAAUCUUCGCCGCUUAACGGGAAGAAGCCACUGGAAACUGCGCAACUUGAGUAUGGUAGAGGCAAGCGGAAUUCCUGGUGUAGCGGUGGAAUGUGUAGAUAUCAGGAAGAACAUCUGUGGCGAAGGCGGCUUGCUGGGCCAUCACUGACACUGAGGGACGAAAGCGUGGGGAGCAAACGGG
rnacentral:rRNA from 1 species